GGAUGCCAGCCUGGUCUCCCAAACCUUUGGAGGAGGGAGCAGGAAUAUGGGAGCACACACUGAUGUGAGAUCUUCCUGUCUUCUUUCUGCACAGGGUUUCUGCUCCUGGU
ensembl:miRNA gga-mir-4732 gga-mir-4732